rnacentral:rRNA from 1 species
GACGUAGGGGGCGAGCGUUGUCCGGAUUUAUUGGGCGUAAAGCGCGCGUAGGCGGCCGCGCAAGUCGGAUGUGAAAACUCGGGGCUCAACUCCGAGCUUGCAGUCGAUACGGGCAGGCUAGAGUUCGGCAGGGGAGACUGGAAUUCCUGGUGUAGCGGUGAAAUGCGCAGAUAUCAGGAGGAACACCGGUGGCGAAGGCGGGUCUCUGGGCCGAUACUGACACUGAGGAGCGAAAGCGUGGGGAGCGAACAGG